rnacentral:rRNA from 1 species
CCUACGGGUGGCUGCAGUGGGGAAUAUUGGACAAUGGGGGCAACCCUGAUCCAGCCAUGCCGCGUGUGUGAAGAAGGCCCUCGGGUUGUAAAGCACUUUCAGUGAGGAAGAACGCCUGGUGGUUAAUACCCAUCAGGAAAGACAUCACUCACAGAAGAAGCACCGGCUAACUCCGUGCCAGCAGCCGCGGUAAUACGGAGGGUGCGAGCGUUAAUCGGAAUUACUGGGCGUAAAGCGCGCGUAGGUGGCUUGAUAAGCCGGUUGUGAAAGCCCCGGGCUCAACCUGGGAACGGCAUCCGGAACUGUCAAGCUAGAGUGUAGGAGAGGAAGGUAGAAUUCCCGGUGUAGCGGUGAAAUGCGUAGAGAUCGGGAGGAAUACCAGUGGCGAAGGCGGCCUUCUGGACUGACACUGACACUGAGGUGCGAAAGCGUGGGUAGCAAACAGGAUUAGAUACCCCAGUAGUC